AUAUCUCGUAGAAAACCCGGUUCCCGUACGAUCACCAAAGUUAAGCAACGUCAAGCCUGGUCAGUACCUAAUGGGUGACCACUUGGGAAUGCCAG